rnacentral:lncRNA from 1 species
ACAAGGAUGGCACCUCUGAUCUGGGCUGUGGGAUGAGGACAUGAAGGGGCAGGGACUUCAGUCUCACGGACCCCACAAAUUCAAGGACUGCUCCAGAGCACAAGGACCUGGCACCACAGAAGUGUAGCACUGGGGUCACCUGCAGAGUUCCAAUGUCAGCGGGAUGCUGAGAAGAGGGGCAUCCAGGGCCACACUAUGGCAGGUGGGGAAGUAUCAG